rnacentral:rRNA from 1 species
GAGGAAAAGAAACCAACUGGGAUUACCUUAGUAACGGCGAGUGAAGCGGUAAAAGCUCAAAUUUGAAAUCUGGUACUUUCAGUGCCCGAGUUGUAAUUUGUAGAAUUUGUCUUUGAUUAGGUCCUUGUCUAUGUUCCUUGGAACAGGACGUCAUAGAGGGUGAGAAUCCCGUUUGGCGAGGAUACCUUUUCUCUGUAAGACUUUUUCGAAGAGUCGAGUUGUUUGGGAAUGCAGCUCAAAGUGGGUGGUAAAUUCCAUCUAAAGCUAAAUAUUGGCGAGAGACCGAUAGCGAACAAGUACAGUGAUGGAAAGAUGAAAAGAACUUUGAAAAGAGAGUGAAAAAGUACGUGAAAUUGUUGAAAGGGAAGGGCAUUUGAUCAGACAUGGUGUUUUUUGCAUGCACUUGCCUCUCGUGGGCUUGGGCCUCUCAAAAAUUUCACUGGGCCAACAUCAAUUCUGGCAGUAGGAUAAAUCAUUAAGAAUGUAGCUACCUCGGUAGUGUUAUAGCUUAUUGGAAUACUGCUAGCUGGGAUUGAGGACUGCGCUUCGGCAAGGAUGUUGGCAUAAUGGUUAAAUGCCGCCCGUCUU